rnacentral:rRNA from 1 species
UGGGUGUAGGAAUAUUGAAAGGAUCUGUCCCUAGUACGAGAGGACCGGGAUGGACGGAUCUCUGGUGGACCUGUUGUGGCGCCAGCCGCAUAGCAGGGUAGCUAUAUCCGGACGGGAUAACCGCUGAAGGCAUCUAAGCGGGAAACCCACCUUAAAACGAGUAUUCCCUGAGAACCGUGGAAGACGACCACGUUGAUAGGCCGGGUGUGGAAGAGCGGCAACGCUUGAAGCUUACCGGUACUAAUAGUUCGAUCGGCUUGAUCGUUCUCAUU